UAUUAGCUGAGCACCGUAGCGGUUGGU
rnacentral:piRNA from 1 species